CCUGGCAGACACUCACAUUCACACGCUCAGCCUCUGCUUCAGCUCUCAGUCCUCCUGGUGAGAGUCUCUUGCAGGUCAGAAAGAAAAGGGGGGCAUGAAGGCAAACUGCAGUGACCUCUUGUUUUGAUCAUGCUCUUGUUGAAGCCUCGUGCCAGUUCUGGCUGCUGGACCCUCCGACCCAACAGAGCACCGUGUGGGGAGAUUGGACCACAACCUCCAGUGAAUUCACAGCCACGUUAAACCACGUUAAA